GGUUUUAUACCCUUAGUUCCUUGCUUCCCCAGGAUGACCGAGCCGAACAGGGAAGCUGAAUAAUCCGUAAGGAGCAACAAAUG
rfam:Photobacterium halotolerans strain S2753 contig0036, whole genome shotgun sequence.